rnacentral:rRNA from 1 species
GUUCUUGCCGUAAACGAUGUAUACUUGGUGUAGCUGGGCUCAACCCCGGCUGUGUCGGAGCGAACGCGUUAAGUAUACCGCCUGGGGAGUACGCUCGCAAGGGUGAAACUCAAAAGAAUUGACGGGGCCCGCACAAGCAGUGGAGCAUGUGGUUUAAUUCGAUGCAACGCGAAGAACCUUACCCAGGUUAGAAGUGCAGUGGAAGUUGCCAGAGAUGGCAACGCUCGUAAGGGCCGCUGUAUAGGUGCUGCAUGGCUGUCGU